UUUUUUUUUGAGAAAGGGUCUCACUCUAUUGCCCAGGCUGGAGUGCAGCGAGAUCAUGGCUCACUGCAGCCUUGGCUACCUGGGCUCAAGUAAUCCUCCCGCCUCAGCCUCCUGAGUAGCUGGAAUUAUAGGUAUAUAUCACCUUGGAGGCUAAUUUUUAUAUUUUUAGUAGAGAUGGGGUUUCACUAGGUCGGCCAGGUUGGUCUUGAACUGCUGGCGUCAAGUGAUCUGCCUGCCUUGGCCUCCCAAAGUGCUGGGAUUAUAGGCAUGAGCCACUGCACAUGGCCUGCCUGUGAAGUGAAUUUAAUUGUAUUUUAAAAUUUGUUCUUAUGUUUUUGUUUGUGUGUUUGUUUUGAGACAGUCUUGCAAUGUUGCCAAGGCUGGAAUGCAGUGGCCUGAUCUCAGCUCACUGAAACCUCUGCCUCUUGGGUUCAGGUGAUUCUCCUGCCGCAGCCUCCGGAGUAGCUGGGAGUUCAGGCCACCUCGCCACCACACCCAGCUAAUUUUUGUAGUUUUAGUAGAGAUGGAGUUUCACCAUAUUGGCCAAGCUGGUCUUGAACUCCUGACCUCAAGUGAUCUGCCCACCUCGGCCUCCCAAAGUGCUUGGAUUACAGGCAUGAGCCACCGUGCCCGGCCUGUUUUCAUAAUUCUGAUACAUUAUAUUUUUACACAUUUAUAGGAUACAUGUAAAAUGUUGUUACAUGCAUAGAAUGCAUAAUGAUUGUAUGGACCAAGGGAAAAACUUCUGCUUUGCCCUCUGAAGUUUCACUGAAAAAUGAACUUGUAAAAGGCAGAUUAGUUGGAGAAAAGGCACACAAAUUUAAUUAACGUGUACACUGGGAGAACCACAGAGUGAUUACCCGGAAGAGAAUUUACUGGCCGGCAUUUACAUUAUUUUUGGUUUGUUUGCUAUGAAAGUAGGCUACCUUUAUUAUUAUUGCGAUGACUUCUAGGUAGUGUUUUGGUUCUUUGUAUUUAUUAUAAUAUUACUUGAAGAAGCAUUCAUUCGUUUAUUUUUUAUUUUUUGAGAUGGAGUCUCACUCUGUCACGCAGGCUGGAAUGCAGUACCGCCAUCUGGGCUCACUUCAACCUCCGCCUCCUGGGUUUAAGUGAUUCUCCUCAGCCUCUUGAGUAGCUGGGACUACAGGUGUGCACCACCAUGCCCGGCUAAUGUUUGUAUUAUUAGUAGAGACAGGGUGUCACCAUGUUGGCCAGGCUGGUCUCAAACUCCUGACCUCAAGUAAUCUGCCUGCCUCAGCCUCCCAAAGUUCUGGGAUUACAGGCAUGAGCUACCAGGCCCGGCCUCAUUCAUUUAUUCUAACUGGAGUCAGUUUGAGUUCAAGACCCUGGGCUCUGGCACUUCAGAUAACAUGCAUCUCUGGGCCUCAGUUUCCUUAUCUGUAUUAUGGGGAUAAAAACAAUAAGAUUGCCAUGAGGAUUAAGUGACACAGAGGAACAAAGGAGCACUUAGUAAAUGUUAGUCUUACCAGUUUAUUUCGCCACCGGGCUGCUGGGGUCUUCCCUGUCCUGGAGGCACUCGCUUUAGUAGCGGACCCAAGUGGUGGAAACUGCGUGCUAGAAGCACACUGGGUGAUCGCGCGGCCACCUGUCCCUGGGAGUGGAGGUGAAAAGAUGAGAGAAACCAGGAAUUUGGAAAAUAAAAGUCGACUUGACAACAGGGACUUUAAACGGGCACAGUGGCGACCUCUGACUCACAUUUUAAAUUUCCCAUAUUUUCCACCGCUUCCCUAUCGUGUGUGUAUUCAAGCAUAUCAAUUGCCGCCAAUAUGUAGGGGUGUGCCACCCUAGAACUCUUCUGCAGUCGAGGAGCUGGGGAGCAAAGCAGAAGAGAGACUUUAAAAAAAAAUAUCUCCGCAGCUCACUUAGGCUGCCCAAGGUCAGCGGCUGGUCGGAGAU
ensembl:lncRNA